rnacentral:rRNA from 1 species
AACACCAAGUCUGCAGCGUUUACACCCGGGUAGUCCCAGCCGUAAACAAUGUGCGUUAGGUGUGUCGGUAACCACGCGUUACUGAUGCGCCGAAGAGAAAUCGUGAAACGCACCACCCGGGAAGUACGGUCGCAAGGCUGAAACUUAAGGGAAUUGGCGGGGAGCACCACAACAGGUGGAGCCUGCGGUUUAAUUGGAUUCAACGCCGGACAUCUCACCGGAUAAGACAGCUGAAUGAUUGUCAAUCUGAAGGUUUUACAUGACUAGCUG